rfam:Neurospora tetrasperma FGSC 2509 unplaced genomic scaffold NETTE2scaffold_5, whole genome shotgun sequence.
GCCCACACCAUGAUGAAAUAUUCUCGGAUGUAAAAUUUUACUUUUGUCUGAAAAGCGCAAAAACAAUGUUGAGAUUUCCGUUGCCUUCCUUCUGAUCUGUGGU